GAAAUGCAAACUUUUUUUCCAUCUUAUUUCCCCCUAUUUCUCUCCUUAUCUAGGUUUUUCCCCUCUUUCUCAUCCCCGACUCUGCUCUCUUCUCUCUGCUCUCCCCUCCCUGCUCCCUGCCGACUCUUUUCUUGCUCCCUUCUCUUCUGCUCCCUGCCGACUCCUCUUCUGCUCCUCGACGACUCCUUCCCUAUAACUCCUCGUUUUGCGGCUCUUCUCCUAGGUGACUCUUCUCCCCGCUGACUGCUCCUUCUGUGGCCCUUUUCGCCGUCGACUCUUCUCUAUGCCGACCCUUCUCCUCUGACUCUUUUCCCCGUCGACUCCUCUCCCACGAUUGCUCCACUAAUCGUGUUCUCGUGAUUGCUCCCGCACCAUUUGCUGUCGCAGCAAUGUACGUCGUCGCUACAGCCGUCCUCAUCAUCUUCUGCAAUAACAUGGUGGAAUAAGGAUUCUCCAUGGGAGUCUUUCACCCUAACUACUGAUUUUGACUAGAAAAAAAAAUGCAGAACCUGUAAUGCAACUGGACACUGAGGCAACAGAUGGAUCCUACAGUGAGUUCAAAGAUACGGACUUAGUUUGGCAUCAUCAAUAUGCUGAUCCAGAUUUUAUCUCUUGUCAGACUAAAGAACUCCUGGAUCACCUAGAAAAUGUGCUUGCUAAUGAGCCUAUGGUUGUGAAAAGAUGCCAACAUAUAGUUGAAGUGAAGGCCCAGGGGAUAAGCAAAGGUGUAGUUGCCGGAAAUCUUUUGUAGACCAUGUCAAGCAUUGGAAAGCGUACAGAUUUUAUAAUGUGCAUAAGUGAUGAUCAGUCUGAUGAAGAUAUGUUCGAGAGCAUUGUUAGUUCUAUGAUUGAUACAUAUUCUACUAAUUUAUGUGGAUUAAAAGUUUAAUCAUUGUUAUAUAUGUAUUAGUUAGUUUGUUAGAGAUUUUGUAUCUUAUUUUGGAUUUCAGACCUUUUGAUUUGGUAUAAUAAUAAGUAAUAACUUUUAUUAA